rnacentral:rRNA from 1 species
AACGAACGCUGGCGGCAUGCCUAACACAUGCAAGUCGAACGAGACCUUCGGGUCUAGUGGCGCACGGGUUCGUAACGCGUGGGAACCUGCCCUUAGGUUUGGAAUAACUCCCCGAAAGGGGUGCUAAUACCGGAUAAUGUCUUCGGACCAAAGAUUUAUCGCCUUUGGAUGGGCCCGCGUUGGAUUAGGUAGUUGGUAGGGUAAAAGCCUACCAAGGCGACGAUCCAUAGCUGGUCUGAGAGGAUGAUCAGCCACACUGGGACUGAGACACGGCCCAGACUCCUACGGGAGGCAGGAGUGGGGGAUAUUGUACAAUGGGCGCAAGCCUGAUCCAGCAAUGCCGGGUGAGUGAUGAAAGCAUUAGAGUUGUAAAGCUCUUUUACCCGGGAUGAUAAUGACAGUACCGGGUGAAUAAGCUCCGGCUAACUCCGUG